ensembl:lncRNA
AAAAAGUAUAAUGUGUUGUUUUUUAUUAAAGAAAAAUUGUAAUUGUUGGGCAGAUUGCUGUGGUAUAAAAGGGAUAAAACAGUUUGAGACGCGUAUCUCAACGUCUCGCCGUUGAUUAUUUUUCUAGAACUUUUUACUUGCAUAUUGACCUGUUUUAAAAAAAAAAAAAAUGAAGAAAAACACAUGGGAGAAACGAACUGCUUUUAUCCUCACUGAGAUGAAGUCUUAUCUUGCCUGUUGCGGUUGUAGUAAACGUGCCAGCUGAUAAGUGAGGAAAGUGCUGUAAACAAGCUCUCUGGGAAUGAAAUAUUGAUGAACAUAGCAAUUUUUUUUUUUUUUUAAACAUUUUUAUUCACAAGAUUAUUCACUUGGAAUAGCAGAUUUAAAGAUAAUUAGUGUUUAUGCAAUGGAGAACCAUUUAAGAGCACUUUCAUGAAGAGUAACACACAUUGAAAACAUUUAGGGAUGUGCGUAAUAAAAUAUGCGCUCCUACAUACCCAUUUGGAGCGAUCACCCGAAUGUGGGCUGUAUAUCAAACAGCCCACAGAAUUCUGUACACAUGCAUUAAGAUGGAAGGCCAAAACCACUGCAUUUCCUUUAUAUUUAUUGGAAGCACAAGUUACUCGUCUUCCUCAGAGGAAAAAUAAAUAUUGAGCAAUAUUUAUAUCAUGAUAUUUUCCCGUGGUGACGGACAGGAAAAAUCCUCGGAUCAGAAGUCGGGAUUAGAGAUCAGAACAGACGCUUGCAGUUUUCAUCUACAUGGCUCACUGUUGGAUUGGAUGUCUGGGAAAUUUCUUGAAAAAUACACCCCUUGAAAAGCCAUCUGGCUUCUUUCUGCGGAUUCAGUGCUCCCUAGUCCGAAAGAAAUUUUUUCCUUUCGUAGCGCUCCGGGAUCAAGAAUACGCAACCUUUAAUCGUGCCAGCGAUACCUCGUCUGGUCAGAUUAAACGCAGCAAGACCAAAGACACGUCUGCUCCGCGUAUACACACGGAAACCUGGAUAGAAGUAAACAAACCUGUAGCGCUAUUUAAACAAGGAUAACAUACUGUAUGUUAGCUUCUGGAAUGAAUUGUGUUUGCUAAUCACAUCUUCUCUCUAAACAAGCCUGAUUAAGGGCAUCUUAAAUAAAUCGAGAGACUUUACGCCUCGCCUACAGAGUCCCAUUAAUUGUUGUAACUGGGAAAGCUCAUUUGCAUUAGGGGGAAAAAAAAAAAAGUGUUCUGUAGCACAAUAGUUGCUGCAUGUGGAAAAAUAAAGCAGGUGAAGGAAUAAAUGAUUACUGUCUAUUCAUGCCAUAAAGCCGAACGAGACAGAACAUGCUGUACAGAUCCAUUAUGUGAUUUGUUUCCAGCUGUGCAGUUUGUUCUGUCCCUUUUUGACCUGACUGGUGUGCCAUAUCUUGCGUCAUACAGUCAUCUGUUAUAUUUCCUUAUUACUAAUAAUCAGAUUUUGGCGAGAUACAAGGUGGUUAUGUUUGAGACUUAUGUUUGAGACAUCACGGUCGCUAAGACGGUCAGAUUGAAGACCACACUGGUGCACUUAGCAGUAUUUUACUGAGAUUUUUUUCCCCCAUUUAUUUAUAAGUAUUUGGUAGUAAUACUACUACUACUACUAAUACUACUAAUAAUCAUAAUAAUAAUAAUAAUAAUAAUAAUAAUAAUAACUCCAACUGCUUGAUGUCUUAAAUAUUAGGGAGAAAAAGAUUUAUGAUGAUUGAGGAAUGAAACACUCGGGAGCAUGCUGCUAUAGGACAGUGGUCAACGUGCUAGUGUGAUGCAGCUCGAUGUGAAGCUUGAGUUAACUGUUACCACCCCGAAGUGUUUUAUUCCUCUUAUACCACAGCAGUUUACCAACAAAUGCAUUUUUUUAUUAACUAGAGAAUGACUUUUUGUCUGUUUUUAUACAAGGUGCCCCAUUCAAAAAAAAAAAAAAAAAAGAGAGAAAAUAAGUCUCCAUUUGUAGGGGACUAUGUUUGCCAGUACUACAUCGAUCGUACCUUCGUCAGCGGAUGUUGGUGGACGUCCUAUUCUCGGUCGGUCCGUAACACUCCCAGCCCUUUUUGAAUCCGUUAAUAAGUUUGGCAACACUCAGUACGUUCACACGGACAACAGUAAUCCGAUAUUAAGCGAUUAAGACGAUACUCUGAUUACGAAACCAGCAUGUAAACAGCGAUUAUUGAUGACCUUAAUCCCACUGAAGUCACACUCGAAGUAAACACAAAUCGAAUCGAGACCUGUUCCUGUUUUAGUCGCAUUACAGACGCGUCUAUAACGCGUUAUAGACACUAUAGACAUUUGGGUCUUUGACAAAAAAAAAGUAUGCCCCAUCAUAUCAAUGUUUAUUCAUUUUCUUUGUGAAAUAACAUCAUGCUCUUUAUCUAUUUAUUUAGCCACUAGAUUAUGCUAUUUCCUGUGUAUUUUACUCUAGAAACGAAAGCUAGCUCUUUAAUAAAUACUGUACCUGUGAUGUUUUGGUUUUUUGUUUUUCUCCCCCUAGCAGCCAGAACAAUUCUCAAAGCCGUUAUUAUAGGAAAAAGAAAUCGAAUCCUUUUGAGCUAUCAGAACGGAGAAUUCAACAGCACUGUGGUGUAUAAGGCAUAUUAAAGAACCGGUGCGUAAUCAUCAACGAAUCGACAACGAGUCAAUGAAUUAGAUCCCAAGAACUAACAAUGGAGCAAGUUAAACAAUUCAUUUAGAUUUAAAAACACCUACUGAGCUGGCUUUGUCAUUACCUGACACAAUAUUAUACAUCAAUAUACUGUACAUAUAAUAUACACUAAUAUGCAAAUGCACAAGGGCAAUGGCUAAGAGCUUCAGAUUACUUUUCAGAUGAUCCCCCCCCUGUCACUGACUGACAGUUUACUGAAAGGACGUCUGGCAUCACACUGCACUCAAAAAUAAUGGUGUUGAUCAGUCUGCUUUUUUGGAUGAGAAAUGACUGCGUGCCAAAAUUCCAGGCUGAGCUAUUUAUUUGGCUGGGUUAAAAGAAAGUUUUGAAGAGCAUCACCUCAUUACCGAGUGCCUGCUGCUUGGUCUGAUUAGUCACCCUAGGUGGUCUGACCCAAAACACUUCAGCUAUACUGAUAUUUUCUCUUUGUUGUCUUCCAGUGUAUUGUUCUUUAUCAUAACACAGCUCUGUUGAAUUCAUGAUUCUGAUUGGUCAGAAGGUCAUCAUUUUUCAGCGUCGGCUAUAAUUCGAGUCUCAGGCUUAUAUCGAUGCUUUGUUAUACGUUUCUGUAGUAAGAACCAAUCCAUAGCGGCUUGUACGGUAGACUCUGCACAUAAUCGAAUACUAAUACUAGCCAGUUUUAAGAAAACGUGGUGUUAUUUAACAGCAAAAAAUAUGUCCAUUUGUGUGGUGAACAUGUCUGUAAGGAGACGUUUAUUAACCGUUCAUGGAAGGAGUCUCCAGUUCCAGUGCUUUCGGACAGUCGGUAAGUUUUCCAACAUGGGAAAUCUUGUACUUUUUUUCGCUUCUUGAAGCUGAACUUCAGAGAAACCGAAGCGGGAGCUACUGUUUAUAGCGGCGAUAACAUAAAAGAUAACACGUGCUAAUGUUUCAUGGUUGUUGCACAACAUGAAAUGUAACUAUAAAUGGAUAAAAAGUGCGAUAGUUGUUCAUAAAUAAUUGUAAUUGUUGACAGGUUGUUGCGGUACAAGACGAACGAAACACUUCGGGGCAUGCUGUUAAUGGAAAAGAAUCCACUCCGAAGCGUUGUAUUGGGACGGCAGGAGAAACCGCAGAGCCAGUUGAGCCGCACGGAACUGAAGCUGGGAAGUGAGUUCAGCGAGAUCUUUAGCGGACAAGAACAAAAUGGUGAGCGUGUGCAUUUGAAUGGUUUAUUUUAUUGUUUGUAAUUUACCGUCUUUCUCCAAUGUGUAUUCAGAGUUAUUGGAAAGAUACCCCAUGGGCAAUGUUUCUGUCUCAUAUUCUGCAGAAGUGUUUAGUUGUUGUUGUUUUUUUUUUUUGUUUGUUUUUUUGGCCAAGCACAAACCACAGUUCAUGUUUGCAGAGGGCAAAGAGCAAAGUCUAAAGCAAAAAGUGUUUGAACUCUACAAUGAGAUUUCCGGUUGUUGUUUUAUUUAUUUAUUUAUUUUUUUCCUUCCUCGCUGUGGCUCUGAGUGGCGAAGAUGCUGCAUUGUGUAACCUUGGUGUCAGCAGUCUGUGCCGGUCAUUUGAAUGUGCAGGCACAUUGCCAAAGAUGAAGUUAAUGACCUUAGAUGCCACAAUCAGCCUUGAUGAUAGUGCCUUGCAAUAUGAGGGAAUUGGUAUUCAUCGUGUCCACUGCAAGCGAUGAAUUAUUAAUGCCUGGCUGCAAGUAAACUUUUCGCCGUGUAGAGGUGGGGAGGGCAGCUGUGGGCUAAACAGUGGGAAGGGAAGAGAAUAUGAAACGCACAGCUCCGUCAUGAAGUGGCGUACAGACGUACCGACUACUCCGCCACCAGUCAUGUCAUUAUUAAGUACAGCGUCAUGUGGAAAUAAAUGAGUAAGUUAUAAAGGAAAUGGAAUAAGAUGGUAAUCCUUUCAUACUGUUAAAGGGUAAAAUGAAAAGAAGACAUGAUCAACAAGAGGGGGGAAAUGCAUUAAAAAGCAAUGCACUAAAAUAAAUAUAGAGAAGAUUAAUAAAAUUAGCAUCUAACCGCACACAGUAGUAGUAAAGUGCAGAGUACGCAGAUAAAUAGAAUGGUAAGGUAUACGUAUAUGUGCAGAUGAGCGAGUAUCUACAGUGUAAAUGUGAACUGUAUUAAAAGGAUCUGGUUACAUGUCUUUUAGUCUGGGGGAGGAAACCCCGGAAGCACAUGCAAACUAUGCGCACACAGGGCGGAGGCGGGAUUCGAACCCCCAACCUCGGAUGGUGCAAUGCAAUCAUGCUAACCACUUUUGGACAUGCAGACAUUUGAUCAUGAAUAGUCCCUGUUAAUGAAGUCGAUAUACUUGAAUAAAACGACAAGGUUAGUUAGCUUUUUCAAUCAUUUAUUCAACAGAUAUUAAUAGAUGUGAGAUUCUUCUGUGGAAAAAGUAAGUACACCCUCGGCGUCAGAAGCUAGUAUUGCCCCCUUUAGCAGAAAUAAGUUCUUGUAGGUGUUUUGCAUAAUUGUCCACCAGGCUCGCUGGAAGUGUUGACCACUCUUCCAUGCAAUAUGUUUUCAACUGCAGGAUGUUUGAGGGUUUUCUUGCAUGUACGGUCCGUUUCAAAUCCCCCACAACGUUUCAAUGGGAUUCAAAUCCGGGCUUUGACAAGGCCAUUCCAUCACCCUCCAUUUCUUCUUUUUUUGAGCCGUUCCCUGGUGGAUUUGCUAGUGUGCUUAGGAUCAUUAUCCUGUUGACCGGUCCACUUUCAGUUCAACUUCAACUUUCAGACAGAUGGCCCCACGUUAUAUUCAAGCACUCUUUGAUAUGAUGCAGAAUUUAUUGUUGAGUCAAUGAAUGCGAGCUGUCCAGUCCUUGAGGCAGAGAAGCAACCCCAAACCAUAACAUUUCCACCACCGUGCUUGACAGUUGGUAUGAGGUGCUUCUCCUGAAAAGCUGUCGUUAGUCUGCACCAAACAUGUCUGCUGUUACUGUGGACAAACAACUCUAUCUUUGAUUCGUCUGUCCAGAGCACAAUUUUCCAAAAGUCCUGGUCUUUGCCUAUAUGUUCAUUUUCAAACUGUAGUCCCGCAAAGGCUUUUUCCUGGCACACCUCCCAUGCAGGUCAAAUUUGUGCAAUCUCUUUCUGAUUGUAGAAGCAUGCACUUUGACAACAACAGUUGCAAGAACUACUAGCAAAAGAUUUUUUGGGUUCUUGAAGACUUCUUUUCCUUUACAGUGGAAUGAUGUAUUUCAAAUAAUUUGUCUAUGUAUGUAUAUAUGUGUGUGUAUAUAUGUGUGUGUAUAUAUGUGUGUGUAUGUAUGUAUGUGUGUGUGUG